UAAUACGUAGGGGGCAAGCGUUGUCCGGAUUUAUUGGGCGUAAAGCGCUCGCAGGCGGCUCGAUGCGUCGUGCGUGAAACACCCCGGCUCAACUGGGGAGGGUCGUGCGAUACGGUCGGGCUUGAGGCCAGUAGGGGGAUGCGGAAUUCCGGGUGUAGUGGUGGAAUGCGUAGAGAUCCGGAGGAACACCAGCGGCGAAGGCGGCAUCCUGGACUGGUACUGACGCUCAUGAGCGAAAGCGUGGGGAGCGAUCCGGAUUAGAUACCCGGGUAGUCCACGCUGUAAACGAUGCGGACUAGGUGUCGGGGGUAUCGACCCCCUCGGUGCCGCAGCUAACGCGCUAAGUCCGCCGCCUGGGGACUACGGCCGCAAGGCUA
rnacentral:rRNA from 1 species